AUUGAACGCUGGCGGCAGGCCUAACACAUGCAAGUCGAACGGUAACAGGCAGAAGCUUGCUUCUUUGCUGACGAGUGGCGGGCGGGUGAGUAAUGUCUGGGACACUGCCUGAUGGAGGGGGAUAACUACUGGAAACGGUAGCUAAUACCGCAUAACGUCGCAAGACCAAAGAGGGGGACCUUCGGGCCUCUUGCCAUCGGAUGUGCCCAGAUGGGAUUAGCUAGUAGGUGGGGUAACGGCUCACCUAGGCGACGAUCCCUAGCUGGGCUGAGAGGAGGACCAGCCACACUGGAACUGAGACACGGUCCAGACUCCGACGGGAGGCAGCAGUGGGGAAUAGUGCAAAAAGUGCGCAAGCCUGAUGCAGCCAUGCCGCGUGUAUGAAGAAGGCCUGCGGGUUGUAAAGUACUUUCAGCGUGGAGGAAGGGAGUAAGGAGAAGACAUGUGCUCAUUGACGGUACCCGCAGAAGAAGCACCGGCUAACUCCGUG
rnacentral:rRNA from 1 species